AGACGUUGGUGGCGUUGGUCG
rnacentral:siRNA from 1 species